GACGCACGCUGGCGGCGUGCUCAACACAUGCAAGUCGAACCGAAAGGCCCUGCUUUUGUGGGGUGCUCGCGUGGCGAACGGGUGAGUAACCCGUCAGUAUCCUGCCCUUGCACUUGGGCUAACUUCAGGAAAAUGGGGCUCCUACCGGAUCGGAGCUCCUGCUGCAUGGUGGGGGUUGGAAAGUUUCGGCGGUUGGGGAUGGACUCGCGGCUUAUCAGCUUGUUGGUGGGGUAGUGGCUUACCAAGGCUUUGACGGGUAGCCGGCCUGAGAAGGUGACCGGCCACAUUGGGACGGUGAUACAGACGAGACUCCGGCGGGAGGCAGCAGUGGGGAAUAUUGCACAAUGGGUGGACUCCUUAUGCAGCAACGCCGCGUGCGGGAUUACGGCUGUUGGUUUAUUAACCUCUCUCGCCUGUGACUAGGCGCGAGUGACGGGAAUUGGGAAAGUAGCUCCGGCUAACUAUGUG
rnacentral:rRNA from 1 species